ACAUGACUGGCGGCGGCCUACCAUGCAAGUCGAGCGGUAGAGAGAAGCUUGCUUCUCUUGAGAGCGGCGGACGGGUGAGUAAUGCCUAGGAAUCUGCCUGGUAGUGGGGGAUAACGCUCGGAAACGGACGCUAAUACCGCAUACGUCCUACGGGAGAAAGCAGGGGACCUUCGGGCCUUGCGCUAUCAGAUGAGCCUAGGUCGGAUUAGCUAGUUGGUGAGGUAAUGGCUCACCAAGGCGACGAUCCGUAACUGGUCUGAGAGGAUGAUCAGUCACACUGGAACUGAGACACGGUCCAGACUCCUACGGGAGGCAGCAGUGGGGAAUAUUGGACAAUGGGCGAAAGCCUGAUCCAGCCAUGCCGCGUGUGUGAAGAAGGUCUUCGGAUUGUAAAGCACUUUAAGUUGGGAGGAAGGGCAGUUACCUAAUACGUAUCUGUUUUGACGUUACCGACAGAAUAAGCACCGGCUAACUCUGUGCCAGCAGCCGCGGUAAU
rnacentral:rRNA from 1 species